rnacentral:misc_RNA from 1 species
AACGGUCUAUACCUGCGGUACCUGCGGAGGGAUCAUUACCGAGUGAGGGUGUUUUUCUAAUAGCCCGACCUCCAACCCCAUGUACACCACUCAGUGUUUUGUUGCUUUGGUAGGCUACAGAGGCCUACCGGAGGUCAAUAUCCAAAAUCAAUUGGUUUUAACGAUGUCUGAGUUAUCAUGAAUAAUAAUUGAAAACUUUUAGCAAUGGAUCUCU